CCAGGCAUUUCUGUGAUGUGGAGCUGGUGGAGGGAAACUCGGGAGCUCUGGCUAGGCCAGGCAUCCCUACUUUGCUUCCCAAGCCACCAACAGCCUCUUGGGGCCAGCCAGGCAAGGUCUCAACUCAGAGGAACCCCAAAGUUCAAGAGGCCGCCCUGUCUUCCUACCACCCUCUCUGCAUGAGGCCCCAAAUAUAGAGCAAGGACAUCCUUGCUGGCCCUCUCAAGCCUCGAGUGACAAGGAUGGCCUCGCCCCACAGAAAAUGCACCUUGUCAGUGAAGCACGAUCUCUCCCCAACCAUGCACAGCGAGUCAUGGUCAGGACCAAAAGAAACGAUCAGAAGGAGCCACAUUCAAGGACUUAUAAGUUAUAAGGUGGGUCCAUCAUUCUGGGCCUCAGCUACCUGCCCAUGAAAUGGACCUGAGAAUAUUAAUACCCCUCUUCUUGCCAGAAGGUCAGGAGCUGAACUGGAUGCUCUUCUCCUAUCCUUUCCAGAUCAAAGAUCUUGGCUAUAGGAACAAUCUCAGCAGCAACAAGAACAGCCAAGUGACCCAGAAUCAGACACUUCCUGCCCUGAGCCUGGCUAGCUGCCCCCAGGGAGGCCCCAAGUGGAGUCAUCGACUCACACCUGCCACUGGGUGCCUAGAAAACCCCUGGACCUUUUCACUGCAAACACCUGGAAAUUUACCUGCCAAAUCUAAAGGAGGAAAAGGGGGAGGACUGGCCAGGCCCUCCCCCCACCAGCCCCCCAACCCCUCAACCCUCUGGUCUCCAGAUCUGGCUCAUGCCUGCCCCAGGUUCAUGAAUCUUGCAGAGAACACACAGCAUAGAUGCAAAGGGACAAUUCCCCAGUGGGCACUUUGGGGCUGCGGCGCUUCUGCUGUGGCAUAAUAGGAUCAGCAGGAUUUCUGGAGCGCUGGGACAUAGGUUUGACUCCCGGCUGGCACAGUGGGUUAAGGAUCCCGGCUGUAGCUCAGAUCUGAUCCCUGGCCCAGGAACUCCAUAUGCGGUGGGGUGGCCAGAUAAGGGGGUGGGCGGAGAAUAGAAAAGAAAAGGCCAUGGUCCCCACCCUCAAGGAGCUCCCUAGUUACUGAAGUGAGGCACAGAAAUUGAUGCAGUGAUACCACUGCCCUCAGCAGGCGAGCAGGGGCAAAGGGGAGUCCUGUCUGAGCCCUUUCCUCAGCAUCAGCCCCUUCUAGGUUCCCUUAACCCAUAGGAAAACCCCAACUGGAGAACCAGCGAAUGUUCCCCCAUCCCCAGCCCUGCUGCCAUUCCCAGCAAAGCUCUCUCUGCCUCCCUUUCCCCAAGGGCUGCUUCUCCUUGGAAGGUGGGUCCCCUCUGGGGGUGCUGGAGGGCCAGGGAAGGGGAGGAGGAUCCUACGAGCCCCUGUCACUGGAGCCUGCUCACUGUCACCCAGGGGGCAAAGACAGGCAGUGGCACGUGAAGACCUGCUCCUGUACAAUAAGGCCUUGUGUGUGGGCCCGGCCAUCUCACUUCACGUGGUGUUUGCACGUCCCCAGCCCUUUGCUCCUGCCUGGACUAUCCUGCCAUGAUAAAGAUGCCAAUUAAGAUAAACUUGGCACUGACAAAAGGGGGGGGGGACAGAAAAAAAAAAGAAAAAGCACCAAAGCUAAGGUGGCUCUGCUUUGGCAAUACCCGAACCUGGGCCCACUUUCUGGGUUCCGCCUCACUGCCAGCUUUGCCCCAAUGGUUAACCAACCCUUAGUAGCACAUCGCAGAUAUUCAGAAAGCUCAGUCCACCGCAGGAAGAUCGCCAUCCAUCAGACAACUUCCAAUUCACGGAGCAACGAGUUCCAAUUCACAGAACACCUAUAAUGUCCAGGACACCGUGCUAGGCUGUGGGGAGGGAGGUGUGGAGGAGAGAAGGCUAUAGAACUGAAUAGCACCCAGAGCCUACCACGAAAACCUAGGGUGCCUUGGUGAAGAAAUAACCAGAAAUGAUAGUAUGAUCAAGUUUUAUCCACACUUCUUUUGGAUGGGAGUUCAAAGGGAGGCAUCUUAUUUCCGAUGGGAAGCCAGGGGAACAAUACACCCAGUAAGGCUAGAGAAGAAGAUGGGGUUUGUGCCCGGGCUGGAAAGCUUUGGACCCAUUUCGAUGAGCAGAGACGUUGUGACGCAUGAAGGAAGGAACGAGAGUUUAAUGCAACAACAUCAAACUGAGCUGUGAUAGGCCGGAUGACGGGCUAGAGGUUAUAACAAAGACCUGACAAAGAUGGUCCCUACUCCCGAGGGGUGCUAAGUAAGGGAAGAGGUAGAAACGUAGCUGGAAUCUAAGAUCCUAGAUAGCGCUGAACCCCAAGAUAAGAAUUCUCUAGUUUAUUCUUGAAAAGCGGUAAUAGCCACUUUGUGUUUUUGAGCAGGGCAGCAACACAGCCAGAGCUCUGCUUCGGGAGGAUGUGGUGACAAGCCACCGUUGGGGGCACUGCAGGAAGGCUGGUUAGGAGACCGGGAUGACCAUCUGGUUAAGUGAGAGGGAGAAGAUGGGCCAGGGAGGCCAAGGGCAGGUUAGGCCACAGACAAAACCACAGUCCAGAGAAGAGGGGGGAGCCUCUGGCAGAACGUGAGGACACAGAGAAGAUUAGAGAGGGACGAAGCUGAACUCGGCCCGACAUACACCAAGUUCUGGUUUCUGGCAGGACCGGUGUACCCAGCAGGCAGUUAGAAAGGCAUGUGUACAAUACAAGGAAGACCAAAAAAAAAAAAAAAAAAAAAAAAAA
rnacentral:lncRNA from 1 species